AGUGGGGGUUGGUUGGAAGUGGGCAAGCAAGGCGAUUGGAAGGCAGAAGGCUCAGGUGAGGCGACACCUUGGAUCAAUCAACGAAUUCGGCGGCACCUGCGCAACUCCUAAACCCUAAAGCCCCGUCGAUCGAUAUAGCCCGGCUGGAGUUCGAUUGUCUGGACCUGGCAUUUGAGAGUCGGAUUUUUAGUUUCUUACAUCGCCGCUAGACCUGACGGUGUUCACCAAGCUGGAAGCGAGUUAUGGCGAUUGAUUGAGCACCAGAGCGGGAUUCGCGACUGGUUUCUCUGGUUCCUCAUCGAUCGGACAGUCGGUCGAAUCGCCGCCAUGGAUUCCAGGAGCGGCGAGAAAGAGGAGGGCGAUCUGGACUCUCGAACGAGCAAAAACAGUCUAAAUCUCAAACACGAAUGGGAAAUCGAUCUGUUUCUUCAUCUCGUGUGGUAUUGGUUGAAUGCCGCACUGCGUUAACUACUAUGAACAGAAACUCUUUACUGAAGCUGUUCUAGGUAAUUGUUCUAUGAAAUCAUGUUCUUAGACAUCUCA